rnacentral:rRNA from 1 species
GACGAACGCUGGCGGCGUGCCUAAUACAUGCAAGUUGAGCGCUGAAGGUUGGUACUUGUACCGACUGGAUGAGCAGCGAACGGGUGAGUAACGCGUGGGGAAUCUGCCUUUGAGCGGGGGACAACAUUUGGAAACGAAUGCUAAUACCGCAUAAAAACUUUAAACACAAGUUUUAAGUUUGAAAGAUGCAAUUGCAUCACUCAAAGAUGAUCCCGCGUUGUAUUAGCUAGUUGGUGAGGUAAAGGCUCACCAAGGCGAUGAUACAUAGCCGACCUGAGAGGGUGAUCGGCCAAAUUGGGACUGAGACACGGCCCAAACUCCUACGGGAGGCAGCAGUAGGGAAUCUUCGGCAAUGGACGAAAGUCUGACCGAGCAACGCCGCGUGAGUGAAGAAGGGUUUCGGAUCGUAAAACUCGGUUGGUAGAGAAGAACGUUGGUGAGAGUGGAAAGCUCAUCAAGUGACGGUAACUACCCAGAAAGGGACGGCUAACUACGUG